AUGGUGGAAAACAAAUGCAGCACGCUUUCCAACUCUGGCACAGCUGGCAAAGUCUUUGCUGUGUAUUCCAGCAACAUCCACACCAUCAGCGUGCCUGUUUUCUGCAGCAGAAGGAGCAGAGGUCAGGUGACUGUGACUCAGACUCCUUCAGUGCAAACUGUUGCUCCAGGAAACACAGUCACCAUCAACUGUAGAACCAGUAGCAGUGUGCUUAAUGGUUACUAUCUCGCCUGGUACCUGCAGAAACCUGGAGAAGCUCCUAAACCCCUGAUCUACUAUGCUACUAGCUUACAGUCAGGGACUCCAGCUCGUUUCAGCGGCAGUGGAUCGAAUACUGACUUCACUCUGACCAUCAGUGGAGUCCAGACUGAAGAUGCAGGAGAUUACUACUGUCAGAGUUAUCAUAGUGGCUACGUGUUCACACAGUGUUAGAGCGUCGUACAAAA